GCGGGGCCGGGAUCUGUGCUAACCACAUCACCAGUGCUGGGUCGCUGAGAUAAUAGGAACUGCAGAUGCUGGAGAAUUCUGGAUAACAAGGUACAGAGGUGGAUGAACACACCAGGUGAAGUAGCAGCAGUGGAGCAGAAAAGCUGACGCUUCGGGCCUGGACCCUUCGCUGAGACCAAGAUUUGUGUGAUUGAGAUACCAGCGAUCGUUGCCAAAGCCUUGUUGCCUGUGGAGAAGGUGAUGUUUAACUUUCGUGUCCUACUGCAGCUCAUAUGAUGAAGGUGCUCCCACAAUGCGGUCAUUUGAGAAGUUACAGAUCAUUCAUCUAGCGACACUGAAGAGCUGAUGGUCAAUCGUUCCAUGGCAACCAGUUGAUUCUUCCAGUUUUUUUUUAUUGAAUUCAAAUUCCACCAUCUACUGAGUUAGGAUUCGAACCUGGACUUCUGUGGUACAUUUCAACAUUCUGGAUAAAAGUUAAAGUCAUCAGGAUAUUACAAGUGGACUUUCAGGUGGGAAGCUCAAUAAUUGUAACACCAAACUCUGACAGAAUUACUCAAUUCAUCAGGACCUGGAUAUUCACAUUGUGUAUAUCCACAAUUUUCCUGCUGCACUGUUCUUAGCCUUUCAGAGGGAUCGAAGGGUUGAGUUACAGAUCUAUACGAUGCCUGUCCUUCCUCCCUGGCUCUCCCACCUAUCUCUUUUGGUAGGUUUGUGCAAACAUUGACUGGAUCCCUUACCUGGAGGAUAUCUAUGAAUUGAAUUUGUUCGAAUGAUAAUCCAGCAUAUUCCCCAAGUGUCGCUCCACAAAUAUCCAGAGAAUUUCUCAGUUUCACAAUCUGUGUGUUCUUCUGGUUUCUUACUCACUGCACUUAGUUGCUGAUUGAAAGUAUAGCCUGCAAUUGGAGAAUUUAAGCAGUUCCACUUCCAGGUCUGACAGUCACUUUGUUUAUCAGAACCCAAUUUUAUCAGGAUUUUGAAUAUUGAAGGAAAAAGCAGCACUCAUAUUGGGGAGAAAUACACAUUGUCUGUGUGUCAAAGAGUCUGUAAAGAUUCAUCUGAAAUGUCCUAAUACCAACGCAGUGACACUGGAGAGAGACUGUGGAAAUGUGCAGAUUGCAGGAAGGAAUUUCUUCAUUCAUCCCAGCUAGAAACUGACCACCAGAGUCACACUGGAGAGAGACCAUUCACCCGCUCUGAUUGUGGAAUGUGAUUCACUCUGUCAUCAAACCUGCUUAAACAUCAGGGAGUUCAUACUGGAGAGAAACCAUUUACUUGCUUGGAAUGUGGGAAAGCAUUCACUCAGACAACUCAACUGCUGAUACACGCGCGAAUCCACACUGGAGAGAGACUAUUGACCUGUUCUGUGUGUAUAAAAGGCUUUGCUGACUCGAAUUCCCUGCUGAUACACCACCGACUUCACUCUGGGGAGAGACCAUUCAUGAGCUCUGAGUGUGGGAAGGGAUUCACUGUCAUCCAAACUGGUAACACACCAGCGAGUUCAGAGAACCACAGUUGAAGGACUUUGCUGUCAAUCUCACUAUCAAAUGAACCAUGGCUUUGGACUGUUUGAGAUGUUACCGAUCCCUGCGCAAGUAGGGGUGCUGGUAUUGUGAAUAAAAUGUUAGUAACAGUUGUGUAAGGUAGAGCUUGGAAAUAGUCACGUUGUCAAGACACAUCGACACAUUCACACUGACUGAAGACUAUCCACCCGCACAGUAUGUGAAAUGGGAUUUCCUGGUUCAUCAGGACCGGUUAACUACCAGCAAAUUUCUGAAUGAGUUGACUGGUUUGAAUAUAGCUAACAGCAGAAUCAAAAACCAUGUGUUUUGGGCUUGUUUCUGGAGAUCAUAGAAUCCCUCCAGUGUGGAAGCAGACCAGUUUAGCCCAUCAAGUCCACACUGAACUUACGAGGAGUGUCUUACCCAGACCCUGUCUGCGUGAGUUUCCUCCAGGUGCUCCGGUUUCCUCCCACAGUCCAAAAAUGUGCAAAUUUGGUAGAUUGACAAUGCUAGAUUGCCCACAGUGUCUUGUGUGCAAUAUCAGGGAUAGGAUAGUGUGUGAGAAUGGGUGGGAUGCUCUUUGGAGGGUUGGUAUGGACUGAAUGGCCAUCGUCCACACUGUAGGAAUUCUGUGAUGAUCUCGAUGGCCCUUUAUUUGUUCGUUCUGCCUGAACACCUUUUACAAUGACGGAUUUUGUUGCUCUCCACAGACACUUGUUUAUUGGAAGCAAUGUAAUCUUCCAUUUUGUGCAUAAAAAUCAAAGGAAUUUUUUAAAAAUCCAAACAAAGGAUUGGGGUGAGUCAUGUACUAUAAUCGCGGAUCGCAUUUUCCCAAUUGGCUAUGAAAUCUGGUGUCCAUUGUGGCUCUGUCUGGGGGUUGGGGUGGGGGGAAUGCAAUCUCUUCAGCUCUUUACCUGGUGUCUAUAGCAGUGAUGGAUCUCAUGGUGAAUACAUAAACCAAGACACUGCAUGAUUUCUAGUAUAUAUUUUCUAUUUAGUCUUCUGUCCAUCACUCCCUAGAGACUGAGAUACCGUUCUCGGGACCUAGGUUUGAUUCCAUCUGGAAAUAAGAAU